rnacentral:lncRNA from 1 species
GCAGGGGCCCGCGCCGGCCCGCAGCGCGGAAAGCGGGGCUCCGGGCCUCGCUCACCCGCCGCUCUGCGCGGAGCUCAGGCGAAAGCUCCCUCCCAGGCCGCCCUUCCACCGCGCGGAAGCCGGCUGGCCGCGGUGCUCCCGGUGCAGGUACAGAAACGGGCGUUCUGCCAUCGGUGAGAGCCCGGACGGCGGAAGGCUGGGCCGCAGGAGGAAGCCGCUGUCAGCCGCAGUCCGUGGCCCCUACGGCCUUUGAAGAGAAGCCAUCAGUCUAGGUUGUGUGGCGUGUAAACAGCCAGGUUCGGUUCGCUGCAGGCUGCAAGUCGGCUGACCUGGUAGCCAGGGUCCAUCGUCCUGAGUCUAGGAGAUUAGUAAUUAGAGUGCUGUUAGGCUUGUUGAUGCAAUUGCUUGGCUGAGAAAAAUGCGAGGAGGCAGCUUCUGUGGAUCGUGGAUUUCCGUUAUUAAUUAGGAUGGGAAUAAGAGCCGGUGUGCUUAUUCCCGCAGUGCACGACGGCAGUGCACUCCUGUAGUUCCAGGGACUCAGGAGGCUGAGGCAGGAGGAUGGCAAUUCAAGGGCAGCCUCAGCUAUUUAGCGAGGCCCUAAACAACUUAGUGAGACCCUGUCUCAAAAAAUAAAAAGGAGUGGAGAUGUAGCUCAGUGGUUUAGCACCCCUGGGUUCAAUCCCAUUACAAAAAAAAAAAAAAAAAGUGUAUAUAUUUGUGUAUGCUCGCUCGCGCGCUCUCUCUCUCUCUCUCUCUCUCUCUCUCUCUCUCUCUCGGACUUAUUUCUAGUCUUACUCAGAUGAGAAGUCAAUAAGAACUAAGCAGGGCAAUUAUAGUUCCUGAGAAUAAAUAUAAUAGUAGAGGAGGUUAGGGGGUUAAUUAGUACCUAAACAAUAAAGAACGUUUUUAGAUUGUGGGCCAGAUAGCUUAUUUACUGACCUUUCUAGAAAACCGUGGUAUACUAGAUUGCAGGAAGAAUUUGGGAUUCUUAGGAUUAGGUUCAAGUCCAAUAGUUCUAGAAAUAUGAGGAUUUGAACCUCAUGAUUUACUCAAAGUAACUCAUUUGUCAGUUUGUGGAGAAUGCUUCUUAUAAUAAGCAUAAAGAUAAUGUUAUAAGGCUGGAGUGUAAGGUAAAAGAAAUUUUUCAAACUAAGUAUAGAAGUUGAUCAUAUCAGAAUUAGGGUAAGAUUCUUGAAUUCAUGGGAAUACUGAGGUCAGGAUUAGUUUUUUGGUUUUUUGUUUUGUUUUAUUUUUAGUUGUCAAUGGACCUUUAAGUUUUUUUUUUAUUUAUUAAUAUGUGGUGCUGAGAAUCGAACCCAGUGCCUCACACAUGCUAGGCAAGAAGAGCUCUGCUACUGAGCCCCAGCCCCAGGAUUAGUUUUAGUAAUAAAAUCUAGAGUAAAGGUUUCAGGUAUUAGGGGGCUAUAAAGUACUCGUAGAAAAAAAAAAUUGUUGUUAAAGCAUUUAUCAUAAUAAUAAUGGUACACUCAGCUAAUAAAAAGGGUGAAAGGGCCUGCAGCAUAUUCUGUGUUAAAGCCUGACACAAGUUCUGAUUUUCCUGUGAAGUCAAAUGGGGCUUGGCGUUUGUUUCUGUUAAUGUUGAGAUAAAUCUUAUUAUCACAAGAGAUUUUGAUGGUAGUCAUAUAUUGUUGGGUUGUGGUAAGGAUAGAUAGACUAAAUGACCCAAUUUUUAGUAAGACUUUUAGAAUAAUAGCUAGGAUUACUUUAUAAAUAGAGUGUGUUUGUGUAAAGCUUAUAGGGCUCUAAUUAAUGCGUAUUUAAAAUUAGUCUCAUCCUGAUCAUAAUAGCAUAGACAGGCUUGAUGCGGCAAGAAUAACAAGGCAAUAUUCCUUAAUCUUUCCCCUUUGUGCACAGAUAAUAAGCCUGUCAGGCCUCAUGUUUCCCCUGUCAACAGUAAAGCUGAUUCUUUUUUCGGUGUUUUAAAUUAAAAGUAAAUUCGUGAGGGCUAGGGAUACAGCUCAGUGGGUAGAGUACUUGUCUUGCAUGCACAAGGCCCUGGGUUCUAACCCCCAGCACCAUACAAAAAAAGUUAAAAUCUUGAACCACAGAAAAAACAGAAAUAAACUCGUGAGGUCAGUUUUUCAUUCUUGGCUCGGGGUCUGCCACAUUAAGAGAUGUGCCAAGGUGAGUUCAGGUUCUCGGCUUGGUGCUUUAGGCUAUUAAGUAUCAUUUGUACCUCACAGUUGAACGGCCAUGGGUAUGCAGGGGCUUCUCAGGCCCCUCAAGGUUUCUUAUGAUAAAUGUUUUAACAUUUUUCCUCUGCCUCUUUAGAGUUGAAGACUUGUUGCUACAUCUCAGUACCCAUGUUCUUAUAAAAGGGUUUUUGGUUUUGGGGUUUUUUGUGGUAUAGAAGCACUUUACCACUGAGCCACAUCCCCAGCUCUUUUUAUUUAUUUUUUUAAAUAUUUUUAUUAGUUGUUGAUGAACCUUUAUUUUUUUAUUUAUUUAUAUGUGGUGCUGAGACUUGCCUCACACAUGCUAGGCAGGCGCUCUAACAUUGAGCCACAACCCCAGUCCUUUAUUUUUAUUUUGAGAUGGGAUCUCACUAAGUUGCUGAGGUUGGCCUUGAACUUGUGAUCCUUCUGCCUCAGUCUCCUGAGCCACUGGGAUUACAGGAAUGCACUACUGUGUCCAGCUCUCCAUUUUGUUCUUUAUAGCAGGUUUGAUUGAUUGCCAGUCUUUUUAUGGACAGAUUCUCCUUUUGAAUGACAGCAAGAGCCUGUAGAGUGAAACAGCAGAAUGCAGUGCUCGGGGCAGAAUUUAGAGGCUAGGAGGCUUUUUGUUCUUAUAUAGCAGUCCCUACCUAAUCUUUGGUUUCUCUUUUCUUAAUUUCAGUUACUCAUGUUCAACCACAGUCCAAAAAUAAUGAAUGUAAAAUUCCAAUAUAAUUCAUAAGUUUUAAAUUGCACACUGUUCUGAGUAGCAUGAUGAAAUCUCCUCUUGUCCCACUCUGUACUACCUGAGUCAUCCCAUUGUCCAACAGAUCCAUACUGUAUAUACUGCCUAUCUGUUAGCCACUUGGUAGCUGUCUCAAUUAUCAGAUUGACUGUUAAGGUAUUGCAAAGCUUAUGUUCAAAUAACACUUAUCUUACUUAGUGAUGGCCCCAAAAUGAAAUAAUAGUGAUAUUGACAAUUUGGACAUGCUAAAAAUAAGCCAUAAAAUACUUAAGUUCUUGACUUAAUAGAAAAGAAAAAAUUUAAGUUGAGGUUCUAAGAUCUACAGUACAAUAAAAUAUUUUGAAACAUAACUUUUUAGUGUAUUAUAAUUAUCCUAUUUUUAGUUAUUAUGGUUAAUCCCCUAUACUCUUUCUAAUUUAUAAAUUAAAUGAAAUCAUAUAUAUAUAUAUAUAUAUAUAUAUAUAUAUAUAUAUAUGGAAAACAGUAAUUUAUAGGGUUUAGUCAUUACAGCUUCAGGCCUCCACCAGGGAUCUUGAGUAAGGGACACUUAUUCAAAUGAGGAACACUACAGUAUUCCUGUCUCACUUCAUUUCUAACCCAUCAAAAUCUCAACCUUAUGCCAAAACCAUCUUCAGCCAGUGUACUCCAGAGCAUGCCAGCCUUGAACAAUAGAUAUGUAUGUUAAUUUACCUAAUCCUUACAGAAAUUUUAUAAGACAGUAAACAUAAACCAGAGAGGCCGAAUAACUUGCCAAAGGUCACCUAACUAGUAAAGGCCAUAUGAUAGGAGGAAGAAACAGUAAUAAAAAUUAAAAACUGAAGAGGAAACAACAUCAAUAAAUACUAGGUUUAGACCUACAUACAGAAUGUAUUUUGUUAAAGGUCAGAGACAGUUUCAUCUUCCAGACCCAAAUGAGGGGAAAAAAGAGGCAAAACAUCAGUUUCUUCCUUUUCAAGGAGAAAGGGAAGCACUAUUACAAUGUCUUUUUAUUUUACUUUUUUUAAAGAGAGAGAAGAGAAUUUUUUAAUAUUUAUUUUUCAGUUUUCAGUGGAUACAACAUCUUUAUUUUUAUGUGGUGCUGAGGAUCGAACCCAGAGCCUCGAACAGCCCGGCGAGCGUUUUACCACUUGAGCCACAUCCCCAGCCCAAUGUCUUUUUAUUUAUGACAUGCUAGCAAGUUAUCUUUGUUUUUAAUUUUCUUAUAUUAACAAUAAUAAAAUGCUAAAAGCACUAUAUAUACAGUCUUAGUAACAUUUUUUUAAAUUACCAGAUGUGAUAUAUAGUCUGCAAAGUAUAAGAAUGCAGCUCAGUACUGUCCUGGUGAUGUGAAGGAUCUUUGCAUCGUGAUAGCAGCCCCAGUUCAUGUUUGCUAAAUUAAAGGGGAGAAGUAAAACAUUAUCCUUUCCUUCCAAAGAAGGUGUUUAAGUAGAUGGGACCUAAGUUAAACCAGAGAAAUAAGGGUAAGAGACAGAGGUAACCUGAAGGCACAGAAGGGAAGCACUUAGUAAGGGGAGAGUGAACAGAAGCAGGGAAUAGAUAGGCACACUCUCAGGCAGAGUCCUAACAGAUGCUUUCCUCUGUGGGCCACUCACUGCAAGAGGUCUAGACUGGACCCUUUUUCUCUAUUGUCAAGACCUGGUUCUCCAAUUCGGAAGAUCCUAGCCACACGUGGCUAUUGAACACCUAAAAUGUAGCCAGUAAUAAAAAUUAAAAACUGAAGAGGAAACAACAACAUCAAAUACUAGGUUUAGACCUACAUACAGAAAAUCUUGGAAGCUAGAAGGGAAAAAAAAAUUGUAUAGAGGAGCAAGAAUUAAAUUGGACUUCAGGAAGCAUGAAGAGAGUAGAGUGAAAUAUUUAAAAUGCUGAAAGGAAAAAAACAAGAAUUCUUUAUACAGAGAAUUAUCUUUCAAAAGUGAAAAAAAAAAUAAAGAUUUUAACAAAAAUGGAGGGAAUUUGUUGCCAG